CCCCGGGUCCAAUUUCCAGCAACAGUUGGCGCUAGAGGAAGGGCCCGAGUCGCUGCCAUGAAGCUAAGGAGUAAAGGGGCUUCCAACACCUCUCGACGUCCUCCACCUAGUCCUGAACAUUCUGUCCGAAACUCGCCGCCUCCGGCCGAGACAACUCCUCAAGUUCGGCCGGAGCAGUUUGAUGCCCUGGUGCAACAGGUGCAAGCCUUGGCUACCGCUGUCCAAGGCUUGCAACCUAGGGGCAUCCCGACGGCACCACUUCCUC
rnacentral:lncRNA from 1 species